rnacentral:rRNA from 1 species
ACUCAAAUGAAUAGACGGGCACCCGCACAAGCGGUGGAGCAUGCUGUUUAAUUCGAAGAUACGCGAAGAACCUUACCUAGACUUGACAUGCCCGGCAAAGCUAUAGAGAUAUAGUGGAGGUUACCCGGGACACAGGUGGUGCAUGGUUGUCGUCAGCUCGUGUCGUGAGAUGUUCGGUUAAGUCCGAUAACGAGCGCAACCCUUAUCUUUAGUUGCUAACAUUUAGUUGAGUUCUCUAAAGAUACUGCCGGUGAUAAACCGGAGGAAGGUGGGGAUGAUGUCAAAUCAUCAUGCCCCUUACGUCUAGGGCUACAGGCGUGCUACAAUGGCCAGUACAAUGAGAAGCAAUACCGUGAGGUGGAGCAAAUCUCCAAAACUGGUCUCAGUUCGGAUUGGACUCUGCAACUCGAGUCCAUGAAGUUGGAAUCGCUAGUAAUCCUGAAUCAGAAUGUCAGGGUGAAUACGUUCCCGGGUGUUGUACACACCGCCCGU